AAGAAAAUGUAUUAUUUUGUUCCGGUAAUGGAUUCGUCAUAGACAAUGGCUACAUGACUUACAUACAAAUUAUGUUACUUUGGUAUAAAAGCAGUAAGUGUCAACCCCUUUCACAGAUCAGGUCUUGAUUAAAACUUGGUUAAAACCCUCUCAAGACAGCUAACCAUGCUUGCCAUAACUAUGAUCAUGGUCCUCCUUAUGACCCAAACAAUCCACGGACUGACCCAUUUAUCAUACCAUGGUCAUGGACAUCGCCAUGGUAUCCCUAGAGGAUAUCGUGGUUUUGAUGAUGAUGAUGAUUCCUUCGAAUCCUUCGAGUUUGAUGAUGAUUAUCGGUUUCGUCGUAGAUUUCCGUAUCCUCCCCGCCGUCGUUUUUAUCGUGGAUUUUAUGACGACUAAGGGUAUCAAUCCGGAUUUCCGUCCAGCGUUGGUUGUUUUUAGGAUCCUUUCAACAUUAAAUCGUGCAUUUUAUUAUUCUUGUUAAUGAUUAUUAUAAAUAAUAUUGUAUAUUUGUUAUUAAUAAAUGGAAUAAAAUGUCGAUUUUUAAAAACUUACAAAU